GUGGGGAAUAUUGCACAAUGGGCGCAAGCCUGAUGCAGCAACGCCGCGUGAGGGAUGACGGCCUUCGGGUUGUAAACCUCUUUUAGUAGGGAAGAAGCGAAAGUGACGGUACCUGCAGAAAAAGCACCGGCUAACUACGUGCCAGCAGCCGCGGUAAUACGUAGGGUGCAAGCGUUGUCCGGAAUUAUUGGGCGUAAAGAGCUCGUAGGCGGCUUGUCGCGUCUGCUGUGAAAUCCCGGGGCUCAACCCCGGGCCUGCAGUGGGUACGGGCAGGCUAGAGUGCGGUAGGGGAGAUUGGAAUUCCUGGUGUAGCGGUGGAAUGCGCAGAUAUCAGGAGGAACACCAAUGGCGAAGGCAGAUCUCUGGGCCGUAACUGACGCUGAGGAGCGAAAGCGUGGGGAGCAAACAGGAUUAGAAACCCCUGUAGUCC
rnacentral:rRNA from 1 species